rnacentral:rRNA from 1 species
CCCUUAGAUGUUCUGGGCCGCACGCGUGCUACACUGAUGCAUUCAACGAGUCUAAAACCUGGUCUGAUAGGGCUGGGUAAUCUUUUGAAAGUGCAUCGUGAUUGGGAUAGAUGAUUGCAAUUCUCCAUCUUCAACGAGGAAUGCCUAGUAAACGCAAGUCAUCAGCUUGCAUUGAUUACGUCCCUGCCCUUUGUACACACCGCCCGUCGCUCCUACCGAUUGAAUGAUCCGAUGAAUACCAUGGAUUGAGAGUACGAAUAGGUUCGCUUAUUUCUGCUGCUCGAGAAGUGGAGUAAAUCUUAUCAUUUAGAGGAAGGAGAAGUCGUAACA